rnacentral:lncRNA from 1 species
CCCGCCUAUUCUUCUUUUAAACCAAAAAAACUUUCAGGAGAAUCCCAAAGGACCAGACGUCGGAUUUGGUGGAGUAAUGGCCUCGGGAGAGCGCUUCAGGGGCCGUCCACUUGUAGGGGAUAUUGUGGUCAUGGGAGAGGUAGACGUCCUCCUGCAAUCAGCCUGGAGCUGAGUGGGCCGUGGGGGCUGCCUGUGCCCUGCCCCCGAAGCAUGGACGGGCACAGCGGCCGCAUUGCCCCAGCAGUGGGACGGUGAUGACCCCACUGUCUGACCCACGCACGGCCGCUGCAGCUAAGGCCACACUGGGGCCUGACCACCUUCAGGAGCCCAACUUCCCCUGGGAUUGCAGAGGGUGUUUUCCCCGACGAGGAUGUUCCUGGCGGCCAGGUCCCGGUGGAUGUAAUUCUGCGACUCCAGGUAACACAUGCCCUCAGCCACCUGCCAGGCGAUGUCCAGCAGCUCCGAAACGGGCAGGACUUUCUCAUCAGAGUCUGCAGAGGGGAGUGGAGCAGAGCCUGGGGUCAGCUGAGCCAGCUGAGGUGGGGAAGGGUUGGGGAGGCUGGGCCAUGUCUCAUCUGCCUCCAAGCUCUGCGGGCUCAGAGGAGGGGCCGGGGCAAAGGGCAGCUGGCCUGAUUGAAAAUUGGAACUGCAGGCCAGCUACCGCCCUUCUGGAAGGCAACUGUUUAUCACGAACCAAGGAGCAAGCUGGGCGUGGUGGCUCACGCCUGUAAUCCCAGCACUUUGAGAGGCUGAGGCGGAUGGAUCACGAGGUCAGGAGAUCGAGACCAUCCUGGCUAACACGGUGAAACCCCAUCUCUACUAAAAAUACAAAAAAUUAGCCGGGCGUGGUGGCGGG